CUACGGGGUGUAGCCGCAGGGAAUAUUGCACAAUGGACGGAAGUCUGAUGCAGCGACGCCGCGUGGAUGAUGAAGGCCUUCAGGUUGUAAAAUCCUUUUCAGGGAGAAGAGGAAGGACGGUAUCCCUGGAAUAAGCGUCGGCUAACUACGUGCCAGCAGCCGCGGUAAUACGUAGGACGCAAGCGUUAUCCGGAUUUACUGGGCGUAAAGCGUCUGUAGGCGGUUUAGUAAGUUUGAUGUGAAAGCUCCAGGCUCAACUUGGAGAGUGCAUUGAAUACUGCUAGACUUGAGGGGAUCAGAGGAAAGCGGAAUUUCCGGUGUAGCGGUAAAAUGCGCAGAUAUCGGAAAGAACACCAGUGGCGAAGGCGGCUUUCUGGGAUCAACCUGACGCUGAGAGACGAAAGCUAGGGUAGCGAACAGGAUUAGAUACCCCCGUAGUC
rnacentral:rRNA from 1 species